AUGCAAGAGGCAAAGAAAUCUAUGAAAGAAAAAGGUAUUAAAGCUGAAGAUGUUAAGAAUUUACCGCCUAUUGAAGAAAUACAUGGCCUUAAUAAGCUGACACAGGUAGUAAAGGUAAAUUCUCUCUAUAGAUUUUAUGAAGUUGAUAUUCCUCAUAAUAAGUCUGCUAGUCAAUGCUUGGAUGAGUUUGAUAAUUUUAUUGUUAAACAAGAAAACUUCAAUGCUUAUGUUGGUAGACAAUUGAAACGUAAUGCUUAUAUGGUUGAACACUUGAGUGAUUAUAUGUCUAGAGUUAAAGGUGACCUUAAGCUUAUUAGUAAACAUGCAUCCAUGGUUACCACUCAAGUAGAACAAGUACUUAAAGCACAAGAUGAUUUGCUCAAUGAAUUAAAUAAUAAGAACAAUGAUAAUGAUGUUAGAGUUAUGACUAGAUGUGAUAGAAUGACCAAGUAA
rnacentral:rRNA from 1 species